rnacentral:lncRNA from 1 species
UGAGCCAAAAUAAGUUUGAGGGGAACAUUCCUGUUGAGUUUGGCCAAUUGAAUGUUAUUGAAAAUCUUGAUCUUAGUGGGAAUUCUAUGAAUGGAACCAUACCAGCAAUGCUUGGCCAGUUAAAUCACUUAGAAACAUUGAAUCUCUCACAUAACAAUCUCUCUGGUACCAUUCCCUCAAGCUUUGUUGAUAUGUUAAGCUUGACAACUGUUGAUAUAUCUUACAACCAAUUGGAGGGUCCGAUUCCAAAUGUUACAGCUUUCAAAAGAGCUCCAAUUGAAGCAUUGACAAAUAACAAAGGCUUAUGUGGUAAUGUCUCUGGCCUAGAGCCUUGCUCAACAUCUGGUGGCAAAUUUCAUUAUCAUAAGACUAACAAAAUUUUGGUGCUAGUUCUAUCCCUCACUCUAGGCCCUCUACUGUUAGCAUUAAUUGUUUAUGGGAUCUCAUACCUUUUGUGUCGAACUUCAAGCACAAAAGAAUACAAGCCUGUACAAGAAUUUCAAAUUGAAAAUCUAUUUGAAAUAUGGAGCUUUGAUGGCAAAAUGGUGUAUGAGAACAUAAUCGAAGCCACAGAAGAUUUUGACAACAAGCAUCUCAUUGGGGUUGGAGGACAUGGAAAUGUUUACAAAGCAGAACUGCCUACAGGUCAAGUUGUAGCUGUGAAGAAACUUCACUCAUUACAAAAUGAAGAAAUGCCAAAUCGGAAAGCUUUCACAAAUGAGAUCCAUGCUUUGACAGAAAUUCGACAUCGCAACAUUGUGAAGUUAUACGGCUUUUGUUCACAUCGACUACACUCAUUUUUGGUUUAUGAAUUCUUGGAGAAGGGUAGCUUGGACAACAUUUUGAAGGACAAUGAACAAGCUGGUGAAUUUGAUUGGAAUAAGAGGGUGAAUAUUAUUAAAGAUAUAGCUAAUGCCUUAUUCUAUCUGCAUCAUGACUGCUCGCCUCCUAUUGUUCAUCGAGAUAUAUCCAGCAAGAAUGUUAUUUUGGAUUUGGAAUAUGUAGCUCAUGUCUCAGACUUUGGAACAUCUAAGUUUCUAAAUCCCAAUUCAUCCAAUAUGACUUCUUUUGCAGGCACCUUUGGAUAUGCCGCUCCAGGUCAAUUCCUUUUCAUUCUUUUUUUUAUAUUAAUUAAGGUUAUAAUAUUUGUAGUUUAUCUUUAGUAGUUACAUGUAAAAUAGAGUUAUAACACAAUUGUCUAAUCUACAUUUCAUGUUUUGUUUAUGGAAUUAUAUUUUACACACGAUAACUCUUCUUUGAAUGUUUACAGAACUUGCAUACACAAUGGAAGUAAAUAAGAAAUGCGAUGUAUAUAGUUUUGGGAUAUUAACCUUGGAAAUACUUUUUGGAAAGCACCCUGGAGAUAUUGUAACUUAUUUGUGGCAACAACCUUCACAAAGUGUUACGGACCUGAGACUUGAUACGAUGCCAUUGAUAGAUAAGUUGGACCAGCGUCUCCCUCAUCCCACAAAAACCAUUGUUCAAGAGGUGGCAUCGAUGAUAAGGAUUGCAGUUGCUUGCUUAACAGAAAGCCCGCUUUCUCGCCCUACCAUGGAGCAGGUCUGCAGGCAGUUUGUAAUGUCAUAAUCAUCUUCAAAUAUAUAUUGUCUCAUAUAUAUAGCCUAAAUGUUGUUUUCACCAAAUAUGCUUCUCUACUACUUCAUUGUUUCAUAUUUGUAAAACUUUUUGUUUGUAUUGUAAAUCAUUUGAACUGGGUGGUAUUAUCAAAUUUUACGUUCAGUCAAACAUGUGAUUAUAAAUUCAUAGUUUAAAGUACACUUUAAAUAUUACUAUAAUUUUAAAUUUUGUUUUAACUUUUUAUGAAACAUUUAUAUGCGUAUAAAAGUGAACCUAUUGAUACUACAUGGUAAUGUUCUUCAUAAACAAUUUAUCAUAUAUAAGUUUAUCAGACAAAGGUGAAAGCCUACCUCGAUAGAAAUAAAAAACACAAUUCCCCGACUGCAUUUUCUGAAAAGAAUUAAAGGCUUCGUCAAUAAAGAUCACACAAUUUCUGUUACCAACACAGAAACCCGAAGCAGAAGUAGUUCAUUAAGUAUAAUUAUAUCUUCUCUUGUAACAUAUUGACAAGGAAUGCUAUUGUGCAUUAAUGAAUCCUUAUAAUGUUAAAUGAAAUGCCAAUGAGUAAGAUAUAUUAAAUUGGACAAGCAAUAUGCAAGAAUAGGCAACAAAUUUAACCCAAAAUACAAACGACUUUUGAUCAUAUUAUCAAAUUUUGUUAUUGCCAGAUCAAAGGAAUUACAAUAGUGUUGCUUAAGCAGGGGAACUCAUUCAGACACAUCUCUUCAGAAGCCUCUAAAAUAGCAAACCACCUCCUUUUUCACAAGUGACACUAUAAUAUAAGCAAUUCUCAUGGCUACUUAACAAAAUGGCAAGUAUCUUUAAAUAGAAUAAAUGAAAAAAUAACUAGAAAAUUUUGAUUAAGCUAAGAUACACAAUUAAUCAAUUUUUCUCUUUUGGUUUAUAAAAAUUAUUUUAGACGUCUUUGUAGUAUUAUUAUUGUUGGAAAUUCUGCCUUAGUUGCGGUCCGCCCCUAGUCGCCUAAAUUGCGACCUUUGAUUAACCUUCAUUGCAACCUCCAACACCUUCAUUGUGUUGGCUUUGAGGGGGUGAAUUUAGUCUCAUAUUAGAUAGAUAUGACUCUUGAGAACAGUUUAUAAAGAGAAGACACUUCUCACCUUACAAGCCGGUUUUGUAAAAAUGAGUUAGGCCCCAAAUUUCAACAAUUAUUAUAUAUUACUCUCUCCGUUUUCAAUUAUAAGUAAAUUUGACUUUUUAGAUUCAUUCAAUUAAUAAUGUAUUUGGUUCAUAUUAUGGACCACAUCCAUCGUUAAUUGAAUGUACCUAAAAAGUUAAAUUUGUUUAUAAUUAACAACGGAGGGAGUAUAUAUUAGGCAACAACAAGCAACCAAUAGUUAUCGGGAUACAUGCCUAUAUCAACGUCAAUUUUAAACGGAUAGUCGCGGGUAUAGAUUUUGCUGCAAUUUCUAGGUACAAAGUGUGGCACUAUUCUGCGGCCUGAAAGAUGCCUAUAAAAGACAUGUCAAAUUAAAAUAAAGGGUUGGAUUUCCAAGGUUCCGAUCCUUUUAUAAUGACGGAUGGAGCUGGAAAUGAGUCGAGUCGAAUCAAACUUGUCUGAGCUCGACUCGAUUCAUUAAGAAUUGGCUCGGUUCGAGUUUGACACGAGUUUUUUUUUUCAACUCGAGUUCGGCUCGUUUAAAGUUCACGAACAAUUUGGUUCGGCUCAUUAUAUUCAAUUCGUUUGUUCAAAGCACAUAACUUUAGGUAUGAAAACGAGUAAAGCCACUUGAACCACAUAACUCAAAAGUCAAAGAAUUUAAAUUUUUUACCUAUAAAUAUAUUGGAAUUUAUACCAAUUUUUAAUGGACUGGAUGAGGCUAAUUUUCAGCUCAAUUAAUUGAUGAACUUAAUUUUCAACUCAAGUUCGGCUCAUUUGGUUCAUGAAUCAAGUUCGACGAAUCAAUUAUCGAAUCGAAUUACGAACUCUAAUCGAGUUGGUUCGGUUCAUUGCCAACCCUAACGACGAAUAAACUUUUUUUUUUUACUUUCACAUUUUUUUUUCUUUUAAAACAAGUUGUCAAACACAUUUGUUUCACUAGUUUAUAAUAAGGUAACAAACCAUACCACUAAAAAAGCAAUAGAAUAAUAAAUAAAAACACCUUAUUGUAAUAAUAAUAUAGUGUUAAAAAUCAUUUAUUUAGUUAGUACAAUCAUAUAAUUUCGAAAAUAAUAUGUAAAUAUAGUACAAUUACAUAUACUAAGUAUAGUAUAUUUUACUUGUCAAAAAAAAAGUAUACUAUAUUUUAGAUUUAUUAAAAAAAAAUGUAUAGUAUAUUUUAGAUUGUUACACAACAAAUAUUAUGGUGCAGGGGUAAGGCUUCCUCACAUCCAACCUCAUACAUGGUUUGAUUCUUAGCCUUUAGUUAUAAUUUGACAUUUGUAUUUUUAGGCAUGUUUUAUAUCCAACCACAAUCAUGAUUUAUUACAAGAAGCAAGAUUCACUAAAGCACAAAGUCUUAUGGGAUGGUGAUGCGGUUGGAUGUAGUUCUAAGCAUUUUGAGUUUUAUAUAAUGAAUGAUUUUUGUUUGAUAGAUGGAUAAAAUGACAAUAAUUAUUGAAAAUUCACACAUAUAAAUGAAGAAAUUGAGGUUCAAAUCGCACUUACGGCGUUUGGUUUAACAAUUUUCGACAUUUUUACCAAUUGAAUUAUGAGUUGUAGAUUAUAUAAUGAAUGGUUUAAUAGAGUAAUAAAAGAUAAGUAUGUGUGUGUCCCUCUCUAUAUAUAUUUGGAAGCAGAUAAGUAAAUAUUUUAAUCAUAAAUGUUUUAGAUUUUUUUUCUUUUUUGUGGCUCAGUUAAACUCGUUACCUUCCCCUAUUACACCAACCUCAUGUUUCUGAUCAAAACCACCCUAAUAAGUCCAAGUCUUCACCUUAAAGACAAAAGUGGAAGACUUUGAUGAGCCUGACUCUUCACUGUUACAAAUGGGAAUAUCAACUUUUGUGACAACUUUCUCUCUCAUACUUACAUUAUUUUUUACUUUAUAUCUCUAUUGUUUUGGUUUUCGUGCAAAUACCAACUUUUUCUUUGUAAAUUAUGGUUGUCCCAUAAUUAUCAACCAAAUAGUUGUUCAAAUAACACUCCUUUUAUAAAUAUCACCUGCAUCUCCCAUUAUAAUGCAUUCAUCAUAAUAAGUGUCGCGUUCAAAUCAAAUUAUACUUUAAUUGAUUGUGAUUGCCAAUACCUUAAUUGUGUUCAAAUUGCCAAUACCAAUGUCGUGUCUUCUUUUGUUCUUUUAUGUGUUUGUAAUGAUCAAAUCACCUCAUGCUGCAACAAAAAUCAAAGGCCGUGAGGCAGAGUCUCUGUUGAAGUGGAAAGAAAGCUUUGACAACCAAAGCAAAGCAUUACUCUCUUCAUGGAUUGGUAAUAAUCCUUGUAGUAGCUGGGAAGGAAUCACAUGUGAUGAUGAUUCAAAAUCCAUCAACAAGGUAAAUCUCACCAAUAUUGGACUAAAAGGUACACUUCAAAGUCUCAAUUUCUCAUCACUUCCAAAAAUCCGUACCUUAGUUUUAAGAAACAACUUCCUGUACGGCAUUGUUCCACACCAUAUUGGAGAGAUGUCUAGUCUAAAAACUCUUGAUUUGUCGAUUAACAAUCUUUUUGGAUCAAUACCACUAUCCAUAGGUAAUUUGAUUAAUUUGGAUACUAUUAACCUUUCAGAAAAUAAUAUCUCUGGACCACUUCCUUUCACUAUAGGAAAUUUGACAAAACUCAAUAUACUAUAUCUUUACUCAAAUGAUCUCACCGGACAAAUUCCACCUUUCAUAGAUAAUUUAAUUAAUUUGCAUACUCUUUACCUUUCAUACAAUAAUCUCUCUGAACCAAUUCCUUUCACUAUUGGAAACAUGACAAAACUCAUUAGAUUAUCUCUUUUCUCAAAUUCUUUCACUAAGAAUAUUCCAACAGAAAUUAAUAGGCUUACCGAUUUGAAAGCACUCGAUUUGUAUGAUAAUAAUUUUGUUGGUCAUUUACCUCAUAAUAUUUGUGUCGGUGGGAAGUUGGAAAAAUUCUCUGCUGCUCUUAACCAGUUCACAGGCCUAGUUCCAGAGAGUUUGAAGAAUUGCUCAAGCCUUAAGAGACUGAGGCUUGAACAAAACCAACUGACUGGAAAUAUAACAAAUAGUUUUGGUGUGUAUCCAAACUUGGACUACAUGGAAUUGAGUGAUAAUAAUUUGUAUGGUCAAAUUUCUCCAAAUUGGGGAAAGUGCAAGAAUCUCACAAGCCUUAAAAUCUCCAACAAUAAUUUGACAGGAAGCAUACCACCAGAACUAGGCAGAGCAACAAAUUUACAUGAACUUAACUUGUCUUCAAACCAUCUUACGGGGAAAAUUCCAAAGGAGCUAGAAAACUUAUCUUUGUUGAUCAAACUCUCGUUAAGUAACAAUCAUCUUUCUGGAGAAGUUCCUGAACAAAUUGAAUCAUUGCACGAAUUAACUGCAUUGGAGCUUGCAGCAAAUAAUUUCAGUGGCUUCAUCCCUGAAAAACUUGGUAUGUUGUCUAGGUUAUUGAAGUUAAAUUUGAGCCAAAAUAAGUUUGAGGGGAACAUUCCUGUUGAGUUUGGCCAAUUGAAUGUUAUUGAAAAUCUUGAUCUUAGUGGGAAUUCUAUGAAUGGAACCAUACCAGCAAUGCUUGGCCAGUUAAAUCACUUAGAAACAUUGAAUCUCUCACAUAACAAUCUCUCUGGUACCAUUCCCUCAAGCUUUGUUGAUAUGUUAAGCUUGACAACUGUUGAUGUAUCUUACAACCAGUUGGAGGGUCCGACUCCAAACAUUACAGCUUUCGGAAGAGCUCCAAUUGAAGCAUUGACAAAUAACAAGGGCUUGUGUGGUAAUAUCUCUGGCCUAGAGCCUUGCUCAAUAUCUGGUGGCAAGUUUCAUAAUCAUAAGACAAACAAAAUUUGGGUGCUAGUUCUAUCACUCACUCUAGGUCCUCUACUGUUAGCAUUAAUUGUUUAUGGGAUCUCAUACUUUUUUUGUCGAACUUCAAGCACAGAAGAAUACAAGCCUGCACAAGAAUUUCAAAUUGAAAAUCUAUUUGAAAUAUGGAGCUUUGAUGGCAAAAUGGUGUAUGAGAACAUAAUCGAAGCCACGGAAGAUUUUGACAACAAACAUCUCAUUGGGGUUGGAGGACAUGCAAGUGUUUACAAAGCAGAGUUGCCUUCAGGUCAAGUUGUAGCUGUGAAGAAACUUCAUUUAUUACAAAAUGAAGAAAUGUCUAAUAUGAAAGCUUUCACAAAUGAGAUUCAUGCUUUGACAGAAAUUCGACAUCGCAACAUUGUGAAGUUAUACGGGUUUUGUUUACAUCGACUACACUCAUUUUUGGUUUAUGAAUUCUUGGAGAAGGGUAGUGUGGACAUCAUUUUGAAGGACAAUGAACAAGCUGCUGAAUUUGAUUGGAAUAAGAGGGUGAAUAUUAUUAAAGAUAUAGCUAAUGCCUUAUGCUAUCUGCAUCAUGAUUGUUCCCCUCCUAUAGUUCAUCGAGAUAUAUCCAGCAAGAAUGUUAUUUUGGAUUUGGAAUAUGUAGCUCAUGUCUCAGAUUUUGGAACAUCUAAGUUUCUAAAUCCCAAUUCAUCCAAUAUGACUUCUUUUGCAGGCACCUUUGGAUAUGCUGCUCCAGGUCAGUCCCUUUUUUUUUUUUUUUUGUCUAUAUUAAUUAAUUAAGGUUAGAAUAUAGUUUAUCAUUAGUAGUUACAUGUAAAAUAGAAUUAUUUCACAAUUGUCUAAUCUACAUUUCAUGUUUUGUUUAUGAAAUUCUUUUGCAGACAAAGGCUAAAGCCAACCUCGAUACAAAUAAAAAACACAAUUCCCCGACUGCAUUUUCUGAAAAGAAUUGAAGGUUUUUCAAUAAAGAUCACACAAUUUCUGUUACCAACACAGAAACCCGAAGCAGAAGCUGAUAGAAUUAAUUUCGUUAAGAAUAAGAAAGGACAAAAGUUGAUAAUCGUAUCCAAACUUCAAAAUAAUUCACGAUUCAAGUCAUCAAUCAAAAUGACAACAGUGACUGGCUACACAAAGCUCAAGUGUUCAACCCCUAAAAAAUCAUAAUCUAUAAUAAUAAAUCGAGAUUCAUCAGAAUAAAGUAAGGUUCAUGUUACGGCUCAACAAUCGGACAGAAAGAAUUGAGAUCCAUGCUGUGAUUCAUAUCAAAUUAGAUACGCGCAAUUUGCAUAGGUUAGGUUCAUUUUUGUUUCAAACCGAGAUACGACUAGAAUGUAUUGUAAAAUAUUUAUAAACAAGGUUAUGAUGAUAGAUCAGAUAAUCUAGUACUAGUGCUGUCAAAAUGAAUUUUGGCUUGAUGUCUUCUCUCAUUCUAUAUUCCUUUAUAAAUAGUACAGACUCAGUAGCUACAAUUAGUAACUUCCUAAAUUAUACAAAAUAUAUAGGAAACUAAUGAUGACAGAUCCCCUUAUUGACAAGUACAAGUUGUAGAACAAGAUAAGAGGUGAAUAUAUAUAACUACUACAGUGUGGGUUACAUCUUUGAGUUCAAAAAAAGGGACCAUUAACAGAAUGCAAAUUCUUUUGUUGAUGACAAUAUAAAAUAUAAAUAAAUAAUCAAAAUCCAACCAAAUGUUCUCAAUCCAAUCAUAAUGUAGCUGUAAAUAUGUGAUGUGUAGUAAAAAGAAGAUAAUUACCUCUCCCAUAGCAAAAAUAUUGUAUACUAAAUCAAAUGAUCUGAUCCAUUUUCACCAAUACCCUUUGCACGAGCAAGAUCCAUUUUUGAAAUGAUGGAAGCGCCUUGAGUCUCUGAGUAUGACCUCAUGUUCAACAAUCAUGGAUAUGUAGGAUAUGGCACUAUGGCAAUCACCACAGAUGCGUAAAUUCUUAGUGAUUCGAAUAGGUGCACCUGGGGGUAGUGUUAGGAUGCAUAGGCAAGAGCCAACUUCUCACUGUGUUCUAAAAGCUGGUCACCCUUUUCUUCAUCAUCCACAUCAUGAAGAGCAAAGUUUGUCUGUGGAACAUACCCAAUGGCCUUAAUGCGCUGAAUCAAAUCUGCCAGUGUUUCAUAUAUCUUCUGAGAUUGUGAGUGAGUUCUGUCUCCCACAUAAAAGGUUUCCAUACCUUUCCUUCCUUGGACCCAGCUCCAACCAGGUCUUUUCUUGAUUCCAGUACGUUUCAUCAAAUAUCUAAUUCUCGCCACAUCUUUCCAGCGUCUGGCAUUAGCAUAUAUAUUUGAAAGCAAUGUAUAUGUCCCAUCAUUGUCGGCCUUCAAUUCUAACAGUUUUUUCGCCGCGAAUUCUGCAAGUUCUACAUUUGAGUGUGUCCUACAAGCACUAAGCAAGGCAAUCCACACUACUGGUGUUGGUUCCAUCGACAUAUCAUUAAUGAGUCUCGUAGCUUCACAUAGACGACCGGCUCGACCGAAAAGAUCAGCCAUACAAGCAUAAUGCUCUACUCCAGGAUCAACUACAAAAUCCUUGCUCAUUCUAUAAAACAAAUCGAUUCCACGAUCCACCAUUCCCGAAUGACUACAAGCAUAAAGCACAACAAGAAAGGUUAUGCCAUCAAGCACUAGAGCCUCUUUCCUCAUCUCAUCAAAAACACGGAAAGCAUCUUCGCUGCACCCAUGCAUGCCAUACCCGGUGAGUAGCGAGGUCCAAGAGAUGGCAUUUCUCUUUGACAUGCUGUCGAAAACUACUUGGGCAGUAUCUACAUCUCCGGAUUUGGAAUACAUGUCUAUGAGACAAUUAGCCACAAACAGAACAUCUGAAUCAAUACGACUUCUACGCAACACAUAAGCAUGAAUCUGCUUACCAAACCUCAAUGCUGCCAAACGAGCACAAGCCAUGAGUACACAAGAUAUGGUAAAAUCAUUAGGAACUAUACAGUUAUCAAAUUUAAACAUUUCAGAGAAAAGUUGCAGGGCGUGAUUUGCAUCUCCAUACUGAGCAUAACCUCCAAUCAUCACAGUCCAAGUCACCACAUCCCUAUCUUUGGGACAUAUUUCAUCAAACAUCGCACGAGCCACUUCUAAACUCUUGCAUUUAGCAUACAUAUCAAUUAGAGCAUUAAUCCCCGCCAAAUCAUCAUUAUCAUCAUUAUGCUCCCCCUUGAGAAUAAAUUUAAUUGAAUAACAAUGAGUUUCUUUUCCAUGAAGCAAAGCUCCAACAGACGCACAACCAGAAAGCAACGACAUGAGCGUAACCACAUUAGGACGACAACUACAUCCACACAUUUGCCGAAACACAUCCAUUGCUUCACAACCAAACCCUCUCUGAGCAUACCCAGAAAUAACAGAACUCCAAGUAACAACAUCCAACUCAAUUCUCUCUUCCCUCAUUUUCCCAAACAAAGAAAGUGCAUCCUCAAAUCUACCAUUUUGAGAAUACCCGGUAACCAUAGCAUUCCAAGUAACAACAUCCUUAAACCGCAUCCUCUCAUAAACCUUACUAGCGUCUUCCAUUUUCCCACAUUUUGCAUACAUAUCAACCAAAGCAUUCCCAACAAAAAAUCCUCAACCAAACCAGUUAUAACACAUAAACCAUGAACUUGUUUCCCACAUAACCCCAAACCAAGAAAACCACUAACAGGAAGUAUAUUAACAACACCAACAGUAUCCGGCAAAAUCCCAUACCCAACCGUCAUUUCCCUAAAAAGAAAAACAGCAUCAUUUGGAACAAAACAAUGCGAAUAAACAGAAACAAUCGAAUUCUACGACACCGAAAUAAGAGGAGACCAUGUAUAAUGUAUUGUUGAUGAAGUAGUUUUGCUUGGAUUAUAGAUUUGCAUUGCUGUUUUGAAAUUUACGAAGAAGAAUGAUAUAAGAGGAGAUUAUGUGUAUUGAUAAGUAGUGGUGGUUUUGAGUUGAACGGAGGGAAACGUGAGAGCAUGCUAGCUUUUUCAUAAAAAGCCAGAUCAUAAAGUUUUUUCAAUGCUGUUGUUACUUGAAUUCAUUUAUCACUUUUUUCAUUAUGGACAAAACUAAGUACAAGCCUUGCAAGUAAGCUGCUACUAUUGAAGACUUGUGAAGCAAGCUUCCCAUUCUCUCCUUCAACUUUCUGUACAACCAUUCAAUGCAUUGGUUGAUGUGUAUACAGUUGAAAAGCACUAAUGUUGUAACCAAAACUCCAAAUGUUUCAAUUAUCACCGAAUUUCUUUAAAAGGUAAUUUGCAAUCCUUCAUUUGCAGAUUCUUGAAGUUUCUAUUUGCUAGCAUGUACUACAUGGCGUAUUUAAUGAAAUAGACAAAUAGUUAAAUUUGGUGCUACAAACUUGUUCAAAAUGAAUGAGUGAUCAACACAUUGUCGAUUCAUUUUGUAGGUGUGAUGUUUUUAGUUAUGGGGUCAUCUUAUGGGAGCUCUUUACCAAGCAGGAACCCUGGAAAGAAGUGUAUCUAUAUCGAGUUAUUUAUCAUGUUGGUGAGGAGGAUGGCCGUCUGGACAUUCCAGACAUUAUGGCCCCUGAUAUUACUAAUAUUAUUAGACAAUGUUUGAAGAAUCAAGUGUAAUCUUUUAGGUGCAGAGCAUUUUAAUAUUUAUAUGGUGUAUGUAAUGCACUUAUCGUGUCCUACAUUAAAAUGUUUUGCCACUAAAAGUAAAUGCAAUUACUCAAAAUAGAAUGUGAAAUAAUGAGAGUUCCAUAAAUAUAUUGUUAGCAAUCUGCAGUUAAUAGCAUCUGGAAGUAAGUUGCAAGGAAAAUAAAGUUCAAUCCACCUACUAUUUAAUUUUCUUUUAUUUGUUUCAUUAUCAUACUUGUAAAUUUAAUUUUCUUAAUCUUUAUUAUUCACUGUAUCAGGAUUUAUGGGCAAAAAGAAGAAGAUAAGAACCUUCUCAAGGAUUUCAAGCAUUCGAGACCUGGAAUAUCUAUCAGUUUCUCGCAAUUAGUAAGUUUCAACUCCUCCAAACUCUCUACAUUGGACAGCAUCCUCUCUAGUGUACUGCCAUAUUAAUCAGUCAGACCAAAUUCUACCACAUUUUCCAACAUAUUUUCAUGAGUGUAAUUGGAACUUCAUCUCUAAACAUAUAGUAUACAAAAGUAACGGUAAAAAAUUACAAUCAAAGAAGCCAAUGACUUUUUGCUGAUCAUUAAAUCAUACUGGUUUUUGACUGGAUCUCAAAGAAGCCUUUUAUUGACAUAUCAAAGUAUUCACAAAAUGGGUUGUUAAGGUAAGGAACAUUGCCAUUGUUUUGUUGAUGAAGUGGUUAACGGAUACACCCAACAUAAUAAUUGAAAAAGACCUAGUACCCGGACAGGAAAGCCGUAAAAGAUUACAAUAUGAUGCAUGAAACCAAUACGAAACAUAAUGUUAACUAAAUGGAAAAUCUACAUUAUAAGCUUGGAAACAAUGCAACAACCCGUGAACAACAGCAGAAAAAUGUAGCACAAAAAUCUAGAUUUAAUUCAUACUCUAAGAGAAGUAAAAAAUAUAGUACAAAUUGUUUGUGAAGUUUACUUUGAAAAAUGUUAAAUAAAAAAUGGAAUGUACUUCAGCUAAAUGAUAUGGCAACUAUGAGGUACGUGAAUCUCCUCAAGUAGAUAAGUUAGUCCUUGAACUGCACCAAUCAUAAGAAUUGCAGUCUUCCAAUUCCAGAAUUGCUGCAGAUAAGUGCAGUAGACUGUGAAUGGUAAGAAACAUAUAUUGGUGAAAUCACUGUCAAUGGAGAGAUAAGAUAAGUCUUUCAAUGAAUUAGAUUUUUUUUUUUCUUUUUUUGUGGCCCCUAUUACUCCAACCUCAUGUUUCUGAUCAAAACCACAAUAAUAAGUCUAAGUCUUCACCUUAAAGACAAAAGUGAAAGACUUUAAUGAGCUAAGUCUUCACUAUUACAAGUGGGAAUAUCAAUUACAAUGCAUUAUAAAUAUCACCUAAAUCUCCCAUUGUAAUGCAUUCAUCAUGAUACAAGUGUCUAGUUCAAUUAUAUAUAUCUCAGUGAUUGCCAAUAAUUUCAUUGUGUUGAAAUUUCCAAAAUACUUCAAAGAAUGAAGCUCUUACCAAUGUCAUGUCUUAUUUUGUUCUUCUAAGUGUUUGUAAUUGCAACAUCACCUCAUGCUGCAACAAAAAUCCAAGGUAGCGAGGCUGAUGCUCUAUUGAAGUGGAAAACAAGCCUUGACAACCAUAGCAGGGCAUUUCUCUCUUCAUGGAUUGGUAAUAAUCCUUGUGGUUGGGAAGGAAUCACGUGUGAUUAUGAAUCGAAGUCCAUCAACAAGGUAAAUCUCACCAAUAUUGGAUUAAACGGUACUCUUCAAAGUCUCAAUUUCUCAUCACUUCCGAAAAUACACACCUUAGUUUUAACAAACAACUCCUUGUAUGGAGUUAUUCCACACCAUAUUGGAGAGAUGUCUAGUCUGAAAACUCUUAAUUUGUCGAUUAACAAUCUCUUUGGGUCAAUCCCACCAUCCAUAGGUAAUUUGAUUAAUUUGGAUAGUAUUGACCUUUCACAAAAUAAUCUCUCUGGACCAAUUCCUUUCACUAUCGGAAAUUUAACCAAACUAAGUGAAUUGUAUUUUUAUUCAAAUGCUCUCUCCGGAGAAAUUCCACCUUCCAUAGGUAACUUGAUCAAUUUGGAUCUUAUUCACCUAUCAAGAAAUCAUCUCUCUGGACCAAUUCCUUCCACCAUCGGAAAUUUAACAAAACUCGGUACAUUAUCUCUUUUCUCAAAUGCUCUUGCUGGACAAAUUCCACCUUCCAUAGGAAAUUUGAUAAAUUUGGAUACUAUUUACCUUUCAAAAAAUCAUCUCUCUGGACCAAUUCUUUCCAUCAUCGGAAAUUUAACAAAAUUGAGUAAAUUAACUCUUGGCGUAAAUGCUCUCACCGGACAAAUUCCACCUUCCAUAGGUAAUUUGAUUAAUUUGGAUUACAUUUCCCUUUCACAAAAUAAUCUCUCUGGACCAAUUCCAUCCACUAUCGGAAAUUUGACAAAACUUAGCGAAUUACAUCUUUCAUUUAAUUCUCUCACUGAGAAUAUUCCAACAGAAAUGAAUAGGCUUACCGAUUUGGAAGCACUCCAUUUAGAUGUUAAUAAUUUUGUUGGUCAUUUACCUCACAAUAUUUGUGUCGGUGGGAAGAUAAAAAAAUUCACUGCUGGACUUAACCAGUUCACUGGCUUAGUUCCAGAGAGUUUGAAGAAUUGCUUAAGCCUUAAAAGAGUGAGGCUUGAUCAAAACCAACUGACUGGAAAUAUAACAAAUAGUUUUGGUGUGUAUCCAAACUUGUACUACAUGGACUUGAAUGAUAAUAAUUUUUAUGGUCAUCUUUCUCCAAAUUGGGGAAAGUGCAAGAAUCUCACAAGCCUUAAAAUCUCUGGUAAUAAUUUAACAGGAAGAAUACCACCAGAGCUAGGCAGCGCAACAAAUUUACAGGAGCUUAACUUGUCUUCAAACCAUCUAACGGGAAAAAUUCCAAAGGAGCUAGAAAACUUAUCUUUGUUGAUCAAACUCUCGUUAAGUAACAAUCACCUUUCUGGAGAAGUUCCUGUACAAAUUGCAUCAUUGCACGAGCUAACUGCAUUGGAGCUUGCAACAAAUAAUUUGAGUGGCUUCAUCCCUAAAAGACUUGGUAGGUUAUCUAGGUUAUUGCAGUUAAAUUUGAGCCAAAAUAAGUUUGAGGGGAACAUUCCUGCUGAGUUUGCCCAAUUGAAUGUUAUUGAAAAUCUUGAUCUUAGUGGGAAUUUUAUGAAUGGAACCAUACCAUCAAUGCUUGGGCAGUUAAAUCGCUUAGAAACAUUGAAUCUCUCACAUAACAAUCUCUCUGGUACCAUUCCCUCAAGCUUUGUUGAUAUGUUAAGCUUGACAACUGUUGAUAUAUCUUAN